ACGCGUAUGAAAGACAAGCUGAAAGACUUUUCUCAAUGACGUAAGUGGUGGUGCAUGGUCGUUCUUAGUUCGUGGAGUGGUUUGUCUGGUCUAUUCCGAUAACGAGCGAGACCCCGACGUUCCUAAUAGGGGCGGCAGCCCGGCUUGCACCUCGGUGCUUGCUAGCACGCCGCCUCGCAAUUGCUUCUUAGACGGAUCAGAGCCGAUAAGGUUCUUGAAAUGGGUUAAUAACAGGUCAGUCAUGCCCUUAGAUGUUCUGGGCCGCACGCGCGUUACAAUGGUAGGCUUAACGAGUGCCUUUUGCGGGCGUUUCCACGGCCGACGGGUCGUGGUAACCCCUAGUCUCUCCCUUGACUGGGCCAGACUAUUGCAAUUAUUGGUCUCAAACGAGGAAUUUUUAGUAGGCGCAGGUCAUUAACCUGUGCCGA
rnacentral:rRNA from 1 species